CCUACGGGAGGCAGCAGUGAGGAAUAUUGGUCAAUGGACGAGAGUCUGAACCAGCCAAGUAGCGUGAAGGAUGACUGCCCUAUGGGUUGUAAACUUCUUUUAUAUGGGAAUAAAACGUUCCACGUGUGGGAUUUUGUAUGUACCAUAUGAAUAAGGAUCGGCUAACUCCGUGCCAGCAGCCGCGGUAAUACGGAGGAUCCGAGCGUUAUCCGGAUUUAUUGGGUUUAAAGGGAGCGUAGGUGGAUUGUUAAGUCAGUUGUGAAAGUUUGCGGCUCAACCGUAAAAUUGCAGUUGAAACUGGCAGUCUUGAGUACAGUAGAGGUGGGCGGGAUUCGUGGUGUAGCGGUGAAAUGCUUAGAUAGCACGAAGAACUCCGAUUGCGAAGGCAGUUCACUGGACAGCAACUGACACUGAGGCUCGAAAGUGUGGGUAUCAAACAGGAUUAGAUACCCCAGUAGUC
rnacentral:rRNA from 1 species